AUUCCUGCUCACGCUGGAGACAAAGCGAGUCUGUGUGUCAGAACCUGAGCUGUUGGUUCACGCCUCUGAGCAACUCCUACUUUUUCCCUAGAUCUUUAGUGAUUAAGGAGUUUUUUUCGAAGCCCAAGUACAACCACAUUUUGAAGCCAGAAGACUGUCUGAACCAUGCACCAUCCUGCAGCUGGACACGAGAACCGUGCAGAUCGCUGACCUGGAGACCGUGAAAGGCGAGCUGCACUUUGAGAUCAGGAAGGCCGGCACGCUGCAUGGAUUCACGGCCUGGUUCAGUGUCCGGUUCCAGAGCCUGGAGGAGGACGAGCCGCAGCUGGUGCCGAGCACAGGCCCGUUUCACCCAACCACCCACUGGAAGCAGGUGCUGUUUAUGAUGGACGAACCCAUGUCCGUGGUCUCGGGAGAUGUGGUCACAGGCUUGGUUGUGCUGCAGGGAAACCCCGUGUGGAGGAGGCACAUGUCCGUGGCGCUCAG